rnacentral:rRNA from 1 species
UUAGGAAUAUUGGGCAAUGGAGGGAACUCUGACCCAGCAACGCCGCGUGAAGGAAGAAGGUUUUCGGAUUGUAAACUUCUGAUCUGUGGGAAGAAGAAAGUGACGGUACCACAGGAGAAAGCCACGGCUAACUACGUGCCAGCAGCCGCGGUAAUACGUAGGUGGCGAGCGUUGUCCGGAAUAACUGGGCGUAAAGGGAGCGUAGGUGGUAGAUUAAGUUAGGUGUGAAAGCCCGGGGCUCAACUCCGGAAUUGCACUUAAAACUGGUUUACUAGAGUACAGGAGGGGUAAACGGAAUUUCUAGUGUAGCGGUGAAAUGCGUAGAUAUUAGGAAGAACACCGGAGGCGAAGGCGGUUUACUGGACUGCAACUGACACUGAGGCUCGAAAGCGUGGGGAGCAAACAGG